rnacentral:rRNA from 1 species
AACUCAAAGGAAUUGACGGGGGCCCGCACAAGCGGAGGAGCAUGUGGUUUAAUUCGAUGAUACGCGAGGAACCUUACCUGGGCUUAAAGUGGGGAGUGACAGCUGUCGAAAGAUGGUUUUCUUCGGACACUCUUCAAGGUGCUGCAUGGUUGUCGUCAGCUCGUGCCGUGAGGUGUCGGGUUAAGUCCCAUAACGAGCGCAACCCUUACCGUUAGUUACCAUCAGGUUAAGCUGGGGACUCUAGCGGGACUGCCACCGUAAGGUGAGAGGAAGGUGGGGAUGACGUCAAAUCAGCACGGCCCUUAUGUCCAGGGCCACACACGUGUUACAAUGGCCGGUACAAAGGGCAGCUACUUCGCGAGAAGAUGCUAAUCUCGAAAGCCGGUCUCAGUUCGGAUCGAAGUCUGCAACCCGACUUCGUGAAGCUGGAUUCGCUAGUAAUCGCGCAUCAGCCAUGGCGCGGUGAAUACGUUCCCGGGCCUU